CGGUAGUUGGCUGUUGUAAUCCAGUCCGGUUCUCAGGAGUCAGCGGCGUGCCUCGUGUUGCCUAGGACGCCGGGGGGCGUGGUUCGCGCGUCUGAAGAGUGACGUAUGUGGUCACGUGAUCGCGGACUCUCUGUCAGGCUUGUUCGCAGUGCUUCUCCUGCUCUGUAGCGAGUGGUGAAUAUUCCAGUAAUCCUCUUAAACGCGUUUCGGGAGUCUAUCCCUUCAUCAGUAAGUGGAGGAUUAUAUUGUGAGUAGCACCCCUUUCUUUCA